rnacentral:rRNA from 1 species
AUUGAACGCUGGCGGCAUGCUUUACACAUGCAAGUCGAACGGUAACAGGCCUUCGGGUGCUGACGAGUGGCGAACGGGUGAGUAAUGCAUCGGAACAUACCCAGUCGUGGGGGAUAACGUAGCGAAAGUUACGCUAAUACCGCAUACGUCCUGAGGGAGAAAGCGGGGGAUCGCAAGACCUCGCGCGAUUGGAGUGGCCGAUGUCAGAUUAGCUAGUUGGUGGGGUAAAGGCCCACCAAGGCGACGAUCUGUAGCGGGUCUGAGAGGAUGAUCCGCCACACUGGGACUGAGACACGGCCCAGACUCCUACGGGAGGCAGCAGUGGGGAAUUUUGGACAAUGGGGGAAACCCUGAUCCAGCCAUGCCGCGUGCGGGAAGAAGGCCU